ACCUCCUCUAUGCAGCGCAGCCCGGGCCAGAGAGUGAGGCUAUGCCUAUGGCUGCCUACCUCGUGGUACACAAAUGAGUUGUCGCGCAUGUCAUGAUAGAGCACAUGUCAUUUGCACAAGACAAAGAGAGAGCAACCAGCCUGAGACGACUGUCCUUUUGGAUAACUACUCAACGCUGCACAGCACAGCAUUCAAUCACUCUCAUAAUUUUAUUGUCAUUUCAUCUUUUAUGGGGGACGCCCCACUCUUAUUAUUUUUAUCACUGAAUGGCUGCUGACGUACGUAUAUAUAAGAGCACUACAAGAUACGACAGGAAAGGAAUGCUGGCUUUCUGAUCGAGGAGGAGAUGAUCUAUUAUUGGCUAUUGGCUCCGGGGAUGGAGUGGAUCUACCUCUGAGAGACAAAGGGCCAGUUACUGUAUCAUGUAUGAAUAUUCUGUUGCUUGUACAUAUUUUCGUAACAUUAUCAGUAAUUGACUCUAGAGUAGCAUAUUGUGCUCCCCUUUCUUCAUCACUCAAUCUGCAGGCAGUGUAUGUGAUUUUCUGACAGGGAAGGCUACUCGGGAGUCGGCCACACAAGGUAUAGUCUAAUAAUUAUUGUACAGUACUUCGAUGAUCUUCUCUGUUUUGGGUCAGAUGCAAUUGCCUAUAGCCAGUUAAAACAUCUCUUCUACUCUUGGCUUAAGAAAUUGUAUUUUAUUAUUGUACCAGUAUUAGGUAGUUAACUCCACUUAUGCAUUGACCUCUACUACUGUGUAGCGGGAAAGUUCAUUAUUUGAGCCCUCGAGAAAUGUUGUAUAGUUGUUCUCAUUUCAAUGCCAGGAAACCAUAGCUUUGCAUGGUGCAUGGGAGUGUCUUCUAUUUUUAUUACAUGAAGUGUGAAGUGUGUUGUAAGUUUGUACAGACCCAUGGUGGCAAUGAUCUGAUGAUGGCUCCACUGCUCUGAUGGACCAAUGCAGGAGAAGUUAUUCUGUAUAAUUAUUACACUAAAUUAAUGUAUGCCACUGUUUGGAUCGGUUUCUGUUCUGCUCAGCUUCUUCCUCCAACUUGCUUACGCAGGCUAAGCUUAUUCUUAGUUCAUUCUUAGUUCAUUCUAUAGUCUAGUAUAUUGUCGGUUUGGUUGUUUUAUGUUUUUCACCUGGUCAUACGGAAUCACUUCAUUAUUAUCAGUGCAGACCACACCUCUAUCCACACAUUGUACCUGCACAUCCUGUAUAUAUGGGGCCACACCCCCACUCACUGUACUGAUAUGUGGUCACACCCCCAUACAUGGUAACCCUCUUGACCACACCCCCACCCAUGCAUUGUGUUGUACAUGCUGUGUUUUUGUGUACAGUACACACAUCAUCCGUGUCUUUGUCCCCACACCUAGUCGGAGGGAGCAGCAAGUUCUACUAAGAGCCAGCAUCACCAACUAACCAACACACUACAAGACCUACCUACUACCAGCUAGGACAGCACACCACCCGGGACAGACUCUACUAUACCAUGUAAUACGCCUUUGUAUUAACGAUCAUGAUACAAUUUGCUGCCCUCCCUCGCCCAUGGAUUGAAUAAUUAUGGACACUCGCAGGAGACUGACACACAAUAAUAGACACCAAAGGGCCAGUUACUGUAUCAUGUACGAAUAUUCUGUUGCUUGUACAUUUCGUAACAUUAUCAGUAAUUGACUGUAGAGUAGCUCCCCUUUCUUCAUCACUCAAUGCAGGCAGUGUAUGUGAUUUUCUGACAGGAAAGGCUACUCUAAACAGGGAGUCGGCCACACAAGGUAUAGUCUAAUAAUUAUUGUACGGUACUUAGAUGAUCUUCUCUGUUUUGGGUCAGAUGCAAUUGCCUUGAAUCACUAGCCAGUUUAAAACAUUUCUUCUACUCUUGGCUUAAGAAAUUGUAUUUUAUUAUUGUACCAGCAUUAGGUAGUUAACUCCACUUAUGCAUUGACCUCUGCGUGUAGCGGGAAAGUUCGUUAUUUGAGCCCUCGAGAAAUGUUGUAUAGUUGUUCACAUUUCAAUGCCAGGAAACCAUAGCUUUGCAUGGUGCGUGGGAGUGUCUUCCAUUUAUAUUACAUGAAGUGUGAAGUGUGUUGUAAGUUUAUACAGAGAGGACUCCCAUGGUGGGAAUGAUCUGAUGAUGGCCCCACUGCUCUGAUGGACCAAUGCAGGAGAAGUUAUUCUGUAUAAUUAUUACACUAAAUUAAUGUAUGCCACUGUUUGGAUCGGUUUCUGUUCUGCUCAGCUUCUUCCUCCAACUUGCUUACGCAGGCUAAGCUUAUUCUUAAUUAGUUCAUUCUUAGUUCAUUCUAUAGUCUAGUAUUAUUGUCGGUUUGGUUGUUUUAUGUUUUUCACCUGGUCAUACGGAAUCACUUCAUUAAUUUUUAUACAGUGCAGACCGCACCUCUAUCCACACAUUGUACCUGCACAUCCUGUAUAUAUGGGGCCACACCCCCACUCACUGUACUGAUAUGUGGUCACACCCCCAUACAUGGUAACCCUCUUGACCACACCCCAAUCCUAUGCUGUGUUUUUGUGUACAGUACACACAUCAUCCGUGUCUUUAUCCCCACACCUAGUCGGAGGGAGCAGCAAGUUCUACUAAGAGCCAGCAUCACCCACUAACCAACACUCUACAAGACCUACCUACUACCAGCUAGGACAGCACACCACCCGGGACAGACUCUACUAUACCCAUGUAAUACGCCUUUGUAUUACGAUCAUGAUACAAUUUGCUGCCCUCCCUCGCCAAUGGAUUGAAUAAUUAUGGACACUCGCAGGACAACUAAGAGACUGACACACAAUAAUAGACACCAAAGGCAGUGUAUGUGAUUUUCUGACAGGAAAGGCUACUCUAAACAAAGGGAGUCGGCCACACAAGUCGGAGGGAGCAGCAAGUUCUACUAAGAGCCAGCAUCACCAACUAACCAACACUACAAGACCUACCUACUACCAGCUAGGACAGCACACCACCCGGGACAGACUCUACUAUACCAUGUAAUACGCCUUUUUAUUACGAUCAUGAUACAAUUUGCUGCCCUCCCUUGCCCAUGGAUUGAAUAAUUAUGGACACUCGCAGGACAACUAAGAGACUGACACACAAUAAUAGACACCUAACUGCAUUUUUGCCAUUAAUAUAAUAAAAAUAAUUUUGCCAUUAA